rnacentral:rRNA from 1 species
CUGAACCAGCCAAGUAGCGUGAAGGAUGACUGCCCUAUGGGUUGUAAACUUCUUUUAUACGGGAAUAAAGUGAGGCACGUGUGCUUUUUUGUAUGUACCGUAUGAAUAAGGAUCGGCUAACUCCGUGCCAGCAGCCGCGGUAAUACGGAGGAUCCGAGCGUUAUCCGGAUUUAUUGGGUUUAAAGGGAGCGUAGGCGGACGCUUAAGUCAGUUGUGAAAGUUUGCGG